ACACCGAGAAGACUUCCAUGCAAAUUGGAUCGCCCUGA
rnacentral:tRNA from 1 species